UACGGGGGGGGCAAGCGUUGUUCGGAAUUACUGGGCGUAAAGGGCGCGUAGGCGGCCUGGCAAGUGGAAGGUGAAAUCCCUCGGCUUAACCGAGGAACUGCCUUCCAAACUGCUUGGCUUGAGUCCGGGAGAGGUGAGUGGAAUUCCCAGUGUAGCGGUGAAAUGCGUAGAUAUUGGGAGGAACACCAGUGGCGAGGGCGGCUCACUGGACCGGAACUGACGCUGAUGCGCGAAAGCGUGGGGAGCAAACGGG
rnacentral:rRNA from 1 species